GACGAACGCUGGCGGCGUGCUUAACACAUGCCAGUCGAACGGAAAGGCCCUGCUUUUGUGGGGUGCUCGAGUGGCGAACGGGUGAGUAACACGUGAGUAACCUGUCCUUGACUUUGGGAUAACUUCAGGAAACUGGGGCUAAUACCGGAUAGGAGCUCCUGCUGCAUGGUGGGGGUUGGAAAGUUUCGGCGGUUGGGGAUGGACUCGCGGCUUAUCAGCUUGUUGGUGGGGUAGUGGCUUACCAAGGCUUUGACGGGUAGCGGGCCUGAGAGGGUGACCGGCCACAUUGGGACUGAGAUACGGCCCAGAGUCCUACGGGAGGCAGCAGUGGGGAAUAUUGCACAAUGGGCGGAAGCCUGAUGCAGCAACGCCGCGUGCGGGAUGACGGCCUUCGGGUUGUAAACCGCUUUCGCCUGUGACGAAGCGUGAGUGACGGUAAUGGGUAAAGAAGCACCGGCUAACUACGUG
rnacentral:rRNA from 1 species